rnacentral:rRNA from 1 species
CGAGCACGCGCGUGUGGCAUAUCAAUAAGCGGAGGAAAAGAAACUAACAAGGAUUCCCUUAGUAACGGCGAGUGAAGCGGGAAGAGCUCAAAUUUGAAAUCUUCAAGGUUCUGACCUUGACGAAUUGUAGUUUAUAGAAGUGUUUUCGGUUAGAGGAGUAGUAAGAGUUCUUUGGAAUAGGACAUCAUAGAGGGUGAGAAUCCCGUAUUUGACUAUUCUUUCUAGCUUUGUGAUACACUUUCAAAGAGUCGGAUUGUUUGGGAAUGCAGUCCAUAAUGGGUGGUAAAUUUCAUCUAAAGCUAAAUAUUGGCGAGAGACCGAUAGCGAACAAGUACCGUGAGGGAAAGAUGAAAAGAACUUUGAAAAGAGAGUUAAACAGUACGUGAAAUUGUCAAAAGGGAAGCGUUUGACACCAGUGUUGUUUUCUUGAAAAUCAAUUAAAAAUAAAUUUGAUUUUGUGUUGUAUUGACCUUAAAAGCUUUCUUCACUUUUUUCAUGUUUAUUUUUAAUGCACUUUUCGUUUAACAAGUCAACAUCAGUUUCUUUUGUUGUAAAAAGGUCAUUGGAAGGUGGCUUUCUUUUCGGAGAAAGUGUUUAUAGCCUUUGACUCCUGCAAUCGGAGAGACUGAGGUCUGCAGCGUAGAUCCUUCUGGAUUAGAUUCAUUUGUGCUAAGUUAUAGCUUUUCAUAGACAACUUGUUGACUAUGUUUAGUCAUGUAGCUUACUCGCUUAUGUAAUUUUACCUACGCUUAGGAUGUUGAGUAGCGACAUACGCAC